AGCCAGGAUGGUUCUGCGUGAUUGGCAUGCUGCUCCUCAGUGAACUUGGAUUUACAGAUGGAGGCCAACAUGAGUAUUCCUUGUUGCUGAUUGUCAGACCCAGGUUACUCUUUAAACGCUUGGUUCCGCUCUAGUUGUUGUAAUGUUUCUCAUGUCACAGUGGCCUUCUGGAGGAAGAGGGACAAUGACAAAGCUCCUGUGAUGGGGACUUUGGGUUGCUGGUACCCAUAUUGCAAAGCAAGGCAGGCUCGUGAGACUGAAACAUUGAUUGCCAGUCAGAUUCCUUUCAACCCAAGGCUCAUGUACACAGGUCCUACUGAGAGGUGAGGCCACAUGUCCCACUGAGGGGUGAGACACACAUAUCCUACUGAGGGGUGAGACACACAUGUCCUGCUGAGGGGUGAGACACACAUGUCCUGCUGAGGGGUGAGACACACAUGUCCUACUGAGGGGUGAGACACACAUGUCCUACUGAGGGGUGAGACACACAUGUCCUACUGAGGGGUGAGACACACAUGUCCUACUGAGGGGUGAGGCCACAUGUCCAACCUUUGUUGGAAAGUGGUUGACGUAGUUGUUUUGUUGCUUGCCAAGGUUAGCUUCUCUUCUUCCAUCUGACCCCCAUGGUAGGAUUACACCCUUUCACCCUGUUGAAGUGACCUGAGUGUGACCUUGAGCUAUGUCUUCAUCAUCCGCUUUCCUCCCUGUCAUAGUAACCACUGAGCUGGUGACUAUGAAUUCAGGGCUAUUCAACCCACCUGAAUUCCGGAACAAAGCUGGCCUUGUGUAGAACCUUCAGCCAACUGACAACGGUCAGGGGGAAGCAAAUGUUGGUUGGAUGCAUGUGAAAUUUUGGGUAGGUCAGAGCACAAAAGUAUUCCGAAUGAUGCAUUCAGUUGUUAGGCUUCUGAUUCAACUUCCAACAAUACAGAUGCUCCAAUCUAAACAAAGUAAGCCCCAUUGGCCCUAGAAGCAAUUACAUAAUUCCUUUGAAAAAAUUGACCUUUUUUUUUUAAACUACAUACAAACAACUAAAUGUUUGUUUUUAUUUUUUGAGUGUCUUGGGGUGUUAACCAGGCCAGCCUUGAAUUUGCAAGCCCCUGUCUCAGCAUCUUGGGUAGUUGGUCACAGCUGUGGAAAACGCUGACUAGCGCCUGGUAGCUUUCACUAAUUUAAACUCCCAAGUCUUUUGUCAUUGCUUGGCUCUAAUGUUUCUGAGAGGUGAUAGGGAAUGUGGGGGUCAACAACUCUUAACUGCAGUAGGCUAGCUGACCUUGCUGUUUGGCUCUGUGGGACAUCUCAUUUCAUGUCAGCAUGGCCAUUUGUUUGCUAUGCAUUAAAGAAUUUAACCUUGCACAUAGGCUAUCUGGCCUUUGUCAUGAUCUAGCAAAAUUAGAGACUGAAAAUGCCAGAACAGCCAUGGUAUGCUAUAGAGUAGAAUCUGGUCACAGCAUGGUGAGGUAUAUGGCUAUUGCAGAAAAAUCAUUUAUUGUGACUUAUGAUGGAGACUCAGGGUCAUGCCUCAAGGAAGGGAUGGAGACUGAAGUCAGUCAUGUGGAUAGUCACACUAAUGGGACCCCAUUAAGUCGUUGAACACCAGAGCUCAGUCGAGUUCCUAUGGUUAACACAUUGUUAACACAUUGUUAACCCUUGUUCCUGGGCAGUGCCCUGUGUGUUUUCCUUUGGGUGGUCCUAACCUUGUGCUAAGUUCUUUGAGGCUCCUAAGCUAUAAUCAAAUCUGAAGACCUCUGCACUUUGAGGUGGUGUCAGAAGUGAGAGCAGGUACAGGACUGUGUUCCUUCUAAUUGGACCAGAUCUUAUCCGUUUGUACAUCAUCUGUCUCAAGACUCUACUGGAAGGUUAGGAGUGCAGCUCAGUGGGAAAGCAUGUGCCAAGCUGGAUUCGAUCCCCACCAUUAUGUUAUAGUUAGAAACAUCAGAGCACUCUUACAUUUAGUUUAAACAGAAUGUAUGUGUAUGGGAGUUUUGCCUGCGUGUAUGCAUGUAUGUGUAUCAUGUACGUGGGGUGUCUGUGAAGGUCAAAAGAAGGCAUUAGAUCCCCCUGGAAAUGGAGUUACAAAUGCUUGUGAGCCAUCCCAUGCCUGUUGAGAAUUGAACCCAGGUCCUUUGGAAGAGUAGCAAGUCCUUUUAACCUCUGAGACGUCUCUCCAGUCCCUUGAAACAAACUCUUGUGGUGUUAUUCCAACCUCAUCCUGAGCUGGACUGCAUGGUUUGCUUUCCGUCUAUUUAUUGCACAUAUUAGAAAGGAUAAUGUGGUUUUCUGGGGGCUUCGGGGAUUUGUUUCCUAUAGCAGGUGUGGUGAAUAAAUAGGUGCACUGCCCUUGCUCUUUUGACUGUGGAACUACCAGACCCACAAGGGCGACAGAUAUCCUCCACAAUUCCCCAAGUUCCAGUAACUGAAAGAUUCAUUCUGUAAUAAUAAUAAUAAUAAUAAGAAUAAGAAUAGUUAUUAUUAUUAUUAUUAUAAUCCCUUUAGCUCUGUGUUCACCCAUUAUUUAGGUCUGUGUUUGAGAAGAGUUGCUUCCUUUUAGGUUUUUGUUUCUUUUAAUAAUGGCAUGUAUUGCUUUCCUUGAACAUUGUGCAGAUAGCAGGCAAACAAUCUCCUCCUCCCCAAAUGGUAGCUAGUAACCUCAAGCAAGCAGCUUAAGUCACUUAGAUGUUAUGUCCAAAGCCACACAGAAGAAUCUUCGGAGUUUCCCAACAACAGUGAGUUUUAUAAAAUGACCUCAUUUUGAAAAAAAUAACUAAGCAUAAAAACACACACCUAAUAACCUGUGUUGUCUUUCUUAGGGGUUCAGCCAAUUAAUUUAUGCCAAGGAUUCCCUCCCAACCACUGGGAAAUGAUUGCAAGU
rnacentral:lncRNA from 1 species